UAGGGAAUCUUCGGCAAUGGGGGCAACCCUGACCGAGCAACGCCGCGUGAGUGAAGAAGGUUUUCGGAUCGUAAAGCUCUGUUGUAAGAGAAGAACGUGUGUGAGAGUGGAAAGUUCACACAGUGACGGUAACUUACCAGAAAGGGACGGCUAACUACGUGCCAGCAGCCGCGGUAAUACGUAGGUCCCGAGCGUUGUCCGGAUUUAUUGGGCGUAAAGCGAGCGCAGGCGGUUUAAUAAGUCUGAAGUUAAAGGCAGUGGCUUAACCAUUGUUCGCUUUGGAAACUGUUAAACUUGAGUGCAGAAGGGGAGAGUGGAAUUCCAUGUGUAGCGGUGAAAUGCGUAGAUAUAUGGAGGAACACCGGUGGCGAAAGCGGCUCUCUGGUCUGUAGCUGACGCUGAGGCUCGAAAGCGUGGGGAGCAAACAGG
rnacentral:rRNA from 1 species